AACGAACGUUGGCGGCGUGGAUUAGGCAUGCAAGUCGUACGAGUUUCAUCUGGGUACCUGGCUGAAAAAAGUGGCGAAAGGGGCAGUAAGGCAUGGAUAAUCUACCCUGAUGACCGGGAUAGCUGUCCCAACGGGCAGGUAAUACCGGAUGAGCUGGUGGGGCCGCAUGGUUCUGCCAGGAAAGGCGCAAGCCGUGUCGGGAGGAAUCCAUGUGAUAUUAGCUAGUUGGUGAGGUAAAGGCUCACCAAGGCGAAGAUGUCUAGCGGGUGUGAGAGCACGAGCCGCGCCAUUGGCACUGAGACACUGGCCAGACUCCUACGGGGGGCUGCAGUCGAGGAUCUUCGGCAAUGGGCGAAAGCCUGACCGAGCGACGCCGCGUGAGCGAUGAAGGCCAUUAGGUUGUAAAGCUCUGUCGAGGGGGAACAAGCCGCAAGGUUGAGUGAUCCCUGGAGGAAGCACGGGCUAAGUUCGUG
rnacentral:rRNA from 1 species